UACAGCCUUCACUAAUGGGUAAAAAUNUAACAAACAUCUUUAAGUGGGCCUAACAGCAGCCNCCUUUUAAAAAGCGUCAAAGCUUAACCAUGUUACCUAAAUUUAAAAAUUCGCACUAACCCCUUUAACUGUAUUGAGAGCUUCUAUAAUCUUAUAGAACCCCUUAUGCUAAAACUAAUAACAAGAGAUAAGCCUCUCUCCUAAAUGCAAACAUAAGCCAACAAGAACCCAUCAUUGGCAACUAACAGGGCCCAUAGGCAGCAACCCUCACUAGAAAACCCUGCCCUCCCCCCCCCCCGUUAACC
rnacentral:rRNA from 1 species